rnacentral:rRNA from 1 species
GGGGAAUAUUGGACAAUGGGCGAAAGCCUGAUCCAGCCAUGCCGCGUGUGUGAAGAAGGUCUUCGGAUUGUAAAGCAGUUUAAGUUGGGAGGAAGGGCUGCAAGUUAAUACCUUGUAGUUUUGACGUUACCAACAGAAUAAACACCGGCUAACUUCGUGCCAGCAGCCGCGGUAAUACGAAGGGUGCAAGCGUUAAUCGGAAUUACUGGGCGUAAAGCGCGCGUAGGUGGUUUGGUAAGAUGGAUGUGAAAUCCCCGGGCUCAACCGGGAAAUGGCAUCCUAAAUGCACUGACUGGAGUACGGUGGGGCGUGUUGGAUUUCCCGGUUUGGCGGUGAAAGGGGUGGUAUAAGAAGGAACACCAGUGGCGAAGGCGACCACCUGGACUGAUACUGACACUGAGGUGCGAAAGCGUGGGGAGCAAACA